rnacentral:lncRNA from 1 species
GGUGGGCAGAGGGAGCGAGCCCAGCCUAACUGGGAGGAAUCCCCCCACUAGCCCCCCGAUCCUCUCCGGGGUGCCUCAGGGGAUGUUAUCGAGCUUCUGGCCUGUGUUUUGGCACAUCACACAGGGGUUCCCACCUUCACGAUGACUUGGGGGACCCUGUGCACCCCCGCGGUCUGCAGCCUCCUCAGUGGCAGGGUUCCCUGCUGGCUUCGCUGUCGACAGCAAGCGCCAUGUAGUGAGGGUCACAGCCGCUCUCAGGCCCCCUCCACGACGCUCAUCGGAUCUCCCAGGAGUUUUGAUCACCUGCAUUGUUUUAAAGCUGAUUAUUCUAGAGGCAAUGGCUCAGCGUUCGUUCCCCAACGUAUUCCUUCAAGAAACAGCCACCUAGCUCAUCGAUUCUUUUAUCUCUUUCAGGGAUACUUUCUUAAUUGCAAAAGAAUCUAAAAAUACAAUUGGCGCCCUUGAUAUGUAUAGUAUCUUGUUUAGAAAGUUAGACUGGGGCCGGCGCCGCGGCUCACUAGGCUAAUCCUCCGCCUAGCGGCGCCGGCACACCGGGUUCUAGUCCCGGUCGGGGCGCUGGAUUCUGUCCCAGUUGCCCCUCUUCCAGGCCAGCCCUCUGCUGUGGCCAGGGAGUGCAGUGGAGGAUGGCCCAGGUGCUUGGACCCUGCACCCCAUGGGAGACCAGGAAAAGCACCUGGCUCCUGGCUCCUGCCAUCGGAUCAGCGCAGCGCGCUGGCCGCGGCGGCCAUUGGAGGGUGAACCAACGGCAAAGGAAGACCUUUCUCUCUGUCUCUCUCUCUCACUGUCCACUCUGUCUGUCAAAAAAAAAAAAAAAAAAAAGAAAGUUAGACUGGGAGAAAAACGCAAUCAACUGUCAAAAUGUAACCGUUUCUCGUCUUUAAUUUACCGUGAUUCCUCCCGUUGACUUUUCAUGGUUUUACAGGCAACGGCAAAGGAAGUUACCAGGGUGACUGGGGGUCACACAUGAAGACGUGAAGCUUGGUGCCGACAAGAGCUGAGGGGCUGCUCUCACACGGCUUUGCUGCAGGA